rnacentral:misc_RNA from 1 species
AGUGGGUGCGAGCGUUGUUGUUG